GACGUAGGGGGCAAGCGUUGUUCGGAAUUAUUGGGCGUAAAGCGCUCGUAGGCGGGACUGGAAGUCCGUGUUGAAAGACCUCGGCUCAACUGAGGGACCGGCUCGGAUACUCUAGUUCUUGAGGCAAUCAGAGGGUGAUGGAAUUCCCGGUGUAGCGGUGAAAUGCGUAGAUAUCGGAAGGAACACCUGUGGCGAAAGCGGCUCACUGGACCACAACUGACGCUGAGGCACGAAAGCUAGGGGAGCAAACAGG
rnacentral:rRNA from 1 species